rnacentral:rRNA from 1 species
GUCUACGGCCAUGCUACCCUGAACAAGCCCGAUCCCGUCUGAUCUCGGAAGCUAAGCAGGAUCAUGCCAGGGUCGUACUUGGAUGGGAGACCGCCUAGGAAGACCAGGUGCCGUAGGCA